UKAGUAGGGCUGUGAUCUACAUUAUGGGAGGAGCAUCCUAGCAAUAUGCUAUGCUGUAUUUAAUUCAACCGGGAUCAUGGAAAAUGAAGGUUACGCUCUACGUUAGCUUGUUACUUCAGACUAUCCGUUCGUAACGAUUUGGCGCUCGGGCCACGUGGAGUGAUACAUUUACCGUUUAACAAUUUGUAAUUAUGACCUUCAUGUUAUCGCUUUGGUAUUCACAACGACAUCASCUUUGUUUACCGUCGCGACAGUGAAAACAUUGAGCUGACUACCACGUUUCUCGUCACUACAAGUUUGAACCGAACCCCAUAGCACAGGAUGAAGAACCGGACAGACGCCCCGCGUGAUAGGGGCUGGUUGGUGGGGAUCACCUUCUUCAUUCUGGGCCUCGGGACACUGCUACCAUGGAAUUUCUUUAUGACCGCCUCCAUGUAUUUCAAUAGACGCCUCAACAAGGAAGAAUGGAGGCCAACGGCAGGU